rnacentral:rRNA from 1 species
CCUACGGGAGGCAGCAGUCGAGAAUCAUUCACAAUGGGGGAAACCCUGAUGGUGCGACGCCGCGUGGGGGAAUGAAGGUCUUCGGAUUGUAAACCCCUGUCAUGUGGGAGCAAAUUAAAAAGAUAGUACCACAAGAGGAAGAGACUGCUAACUCUGUGCCAGCAGCCGCGGUAAUACAGAGGUCUCAAGCGUUGUUCGGAAUCACUGGGCGUAAGGCGUGCGUAGGCUGUUUCGUAAGUCGUGUGUGAAAGGCGCGGGCUCAACCCGCGGACGGCACAUGAUACUGCGAGACUAGAGUAAUGGAGGGGGAACCGGAAUUCUCGGUGUAGCAGUGAAAUGCGUAGAUAUCGAGAGGAACACUCGUGGCGAAGGCGGGUUCCUGGACAUUAACUGACGCUGAGGCACGAAGGCCAGGGGAGCGAAAGGGAUUAGAUACCCUAGUAGUC